rnacentral:rRNA from 1 species
CAUGCAAGUCGAACGGUAACAGGAAGCAGCUUGCUGCUUCGCUGACGAGUGGCGGACGGGUGAGUAAUGUCUGGGAAACUGCCUGAUGGAGGGGGAUAACUACUGGAAACGGUAGCUAAUACCGCAUAACGUCGCAAGACCAAAGAGGGGGACCUUCGGGCCUCUUGCCAUCGGAUGUGCCCAGAUGGGAUUAGCUAGUAGGUGGGGUAACGGCUCACCUAGGCGACGAUCCCUAGCUGGUCUGAGAGGAUGACCAGCCACACUGGAACUGAGACACGGUCCAGACUCCUACGGGAGGCAGCAGUGGGGAAUAUUGCACAAUGGGCGCAAGCCUGAUGCAGCCAUGCCGCGUGUAUGAAGAAGGCCUUCGGGUUGUAAAGUACUUUCAGCGGGGAGGAAGGCGAUAAGGUUAAUAACCUUGUC